UACGAAGGGGGCUAGCGUUGUUCGGAAUUACUGGGCGUAAAGCGCGCGCAGGCGGUCUUCCAAGUCAGUGGUGAAAGCCCGGAGCUCAACUCCGGAACUGCCAUUGAAACUGUUGGACUUGAGUACGAGAGAGGUGAGUGGAAUUCCCAGUGUAGAGGUGAAAUUCGUAGAUAUUGGGAAGAACACCGGUGGCGAAGGCGGCUCACUGGCUCGUAACUGACGCUGAGGAGCGAAAGCUAGGGGAGCAAACGGG
rnacentral:rRNA from 1 species